rnacentral:rRNA from 1 species
CCCUUAGAUGUUCUGGGCUGCACGCGCGCUACACUGACGUACGCAACGAGUGUCCUUUACCGAGAGGUAUGGGUAAUCAUUUGAGUGUACGUCGUGAUGGGGAUAGAAUAUUGUAAUUAUUACUCUUCAACGAGGAAUUCCUAGUAAGCGCAAGUCAGCAGCUUGCGCUGAUUACGUCCCUGCCCUUUGUACACACCGCCCGUCGCUACUACCGAUUGAACGGUUUAGUGAGGGCCUCGGAUUGGUCUCGGCCCGCUCUUUACCGGGCGGCGCCGUUGGUCGAGAAGACGCUCGAACUUGAUCGUUUAGAGGAAGUAAAAGUCGUAACA